GUGUAUUCAUACUAUGCUUUUGCGCAUGUUUUGUGCAGAUCCAGGUACAUCCUAUCAGCCUCAAUAUUAGUGCCCUGUAUUGUUGCUUUGGAGACUUCAAGAAGGGAGACUAAGCGCCUGAAGGAAAAACAAAAGAAAAACUAAAAGUCCUAACACAUAUACAAAGAACAAAAAGCCUAAAGUUUGAUACAAGCCCUAGACGAGAUAGCACGCUGCCGUCGACACUAAAGAUCGCUUACCACCUGAAAAGGCUCACGGGAAACCAAGAGAUUAAGAGGAGAACCAAAUGAUCAAGAGGAACAUGAAAGCAAUGAAGACCUUACCUAAAGAUAUUGGUUGUAGAAUCUUCAGACAAUCUAAGAAUAUUUUUAUUUUUGAAUUAUUUUGCAAACUUAUAUAU